rnacentral:rRNA from 1 species
AACGAACGCUGGCGGCAUGCCUAACACAUGCAAGUCGAACGAGACCUUCGGGUUUAGUGGCGCACGGGUGCGUAACGCGUGGGAACCUGCCCUUAGGUUCGGAAUAACUCCCCGAAAGGGGUGCUAAUACCGGAUAAUGUCUUCGGACCAAAGAUUUAUCGCCUUUGGAUGGGCCCGCGUUGGAUUACCUAGUUGGUAGGGUAAAAGCCUACCAAGGCGACGAUCCAUAGCUGGUCUGAGAGGAUGAUCAGCCACACUGGUACUGAGACACGGCCCAGACUCCUACGGGAGGCAGCAGUGGGGAAUAUUGGACAAUGGGCGAAAGCCUGAUCCAGCAAUGCCGCGUGAGUGAUGAAGGCCUUAGGGUUGUAAAGCUCUUUUACCCGGGAUGAUAAUGACAGUACCGGGAGAAUAAGCUCCGGCUAACUCCGUG